CAAGUACUCCCUCCGUCCGGAAUUACUUGUCAUCAAAAUGGAUGUGUCUAGAACUAAAAUACAUCUAGAUACAUCCAUUUCAAUGACAAGUAUUUCCGGACGGAGGGAUUACAAG
rnacentral:pre_miRNA from 1 species